CCUACGGGAGGCAGCAGUGAGGAAUAUUGGUCAAUGGACGCAAGUCUGAACCAGCCAUGCCGCGUGCAGGAUGACGGCUCCAUGAGUUGUAAACUGCUUUUGUACGAGGGUAAACCCCGAUACGUGUAUCGGGUUGAAAGUAUCGUACGAAUAAGGAUCGGCUAACUCCGUGCCAGGAGCCGCGGUAAUACGGAGGAUCCGAGCGUUAUCCGGAUUUAUUGGGUUUAAAGGGUGCGGAGGCGGUUUGAUAAGUUAGAGGGGAAAUGUCGGGGCUCAACCCCGAAAAUGCUUCUAAUACUGUUGGACUAGAGAGUAGAUGCGGUAGGCGGAAUGUAUGGUGUAGCGGUGAAAUGCUUAGAGAUCAUACAGAACACCGAUUGCGAAGGCAGCUUACCAAACUAUAUCUGACGUUGAGGCACGAAAGCGUGGGUAGCAAACAGGAUUAGAUACCCGGGUAGUC
rnacentral:rRNA from 1 species